rnacentral:rRNA from 1 species
AACGAACGCUGGCGGCAGGCUUAACACAUGCAAGUCGAACGCAUGCCUUCGGGCAUGAGUGGCAGACGGGUGAGUAACGCGUGGGAACCUACCCCUUGGUACGGGAUAGCUCCGGGAAACUGGAGAUAAUACCGUAUGUGUCCUGAGGGACAAAGAUUCAUCGCCAAGGGAUGGGCCCGCGUCGGAUUAGCUAGUUGGUGGGGUAACGGCCUACCAAGGCGACGAUCCGUAGCUGGUCUAAGAGGAUGAUCAGCCACAUUGGGACUGAGACACGGCCCAAACUCCUACGGGAGGCAGCAGUGGGGAAUAUUGGACAAUGGGCGCAAGCCUGAUCCAGCCAUGCCGCGUGAGUGAUGAAGGCCCUAGGGUUGUAAAGCUCUUUCACCGGUGACGAUAAUGACGGUAACCGGAGAAGCAGCCCCGGCUAACUUCGUG